CCUACGGGGGGCAGCAGUGGGGAAUCUUGCGCAAUGGGCGAAAGCCUGACGCAGCCAUGCCGCGUGGAUGAUGAAGGUCUUAGGAUUGUAAAAUCCUUUCAGCGGGGACGCGGUACCCGCAGAAGAAGCCCCGGCUAACUUCGUGCCAGCAGCCGCGGUAAUACGAAGGGGGCUAGCGUUGCUCGGAUUUACUGGGCGUAAAGGGUGCGUAGGCGGACCGUUUAGUUGGGGGUGAAAGCCCGGGGCUCAACCUCGGAAUUGCCUUCAAUACUGGCGGUCUUGAGUAUGGAAGAGGUAAGUGGAACUCCGAGUGUAGAGGUGAAAUUCGUAGAUAUUCGGAAGAACACCGGUGGCGAAGGCGACUUACUGGUCAUACUGACGCUGAGGCACGAAAGCGUGGGGAGCAAACAGGAUUAGAUACCCUUGUAGUC
rnacentral:rRNA from 1 species